rnacentral:lncRNA from 1 species
CAUUGCAGCAUUAUACACAAAAGCCAAGACAGAAGCAACCUAAGUGCCCAUCAGUGGAUGAACGGAUAAAGAAGAUGCAGCAUAUAUACACAAUGGAACACUACUCAGCUAUUAAAGAAGAUGAAAUUUUACCAUUUGCGACAAGAUGGAUGGACCUUGACUAUAUUAUACUAUAAAUCAAGGGAUUCAACAUGGGAAUCACCACAGUGUAGAAGACUGAUGCAAAUCUGUCAAAGCUGGAGGAACCGCCAGAGCUGGAACUCAAGUAGACAAAGAUACUUGAGGAAUAGAAGAGGGUCACUGCUGUCAGGUGAGAAGCACAGGUGCUGAAAGCCUUGGACCUGCCUUUAGCUGAAGUGAUCUUCAUAAUGGAGAUGACAAUACAGCCAUAAGAUAUCAUGAUAAUUGAGACAUUUAUUAUCCCAAAGAUCACUAUUAAUACCGCAGUCAUGAGUUGUACAAAGAAAGUGUCAGUGCAGGACAGGACUAACAGUUGUGGCAUGUCACAGAAGAAGUGGUUGAUGAAUUAGGCCCACAGAAUUGGAGCUGAAGCAUGGCACACAAUUGGGAUAUAGAACCAGAGAAUCCUGCCAUAUAGGACCCAAGCACCAUUUGAACACACAGAGUGGGUGACAUGAUGGAUGAAUAGAGAAGUGGGUUACAAAUGGCAGCAUAUCGAUCAUAAGCCAUGGCUGUCAUGAGACAAGACUCACUCAGUCCCAUGGUUGAAAAGAUGAAGUAUUGAACAGCACAACCCACAAGGGUGAUGGUUUGCUGCUCCUGGAAAAAGUUGGAGAGCAUCUUGGGGACUGUGGAGGUCACGUAGCAGAUAUCAAUGAAGGACAGAUUAUGGAGGAAGAAGUACAUGGGUGUGUGGAGAUGGAAAUCCAUCCUUAUUAAGAUGAUGAGACACAGGUUCCAAAUCAGAGUCAUAAUGUACACCAACAGGAAUACAACGAAGAGCACUGCUCUGAUUCCGGGGAAAUCUGAGAAUCCCAAGAGGAGGAAAUGGGUGAUAGCUGUAAUAUUUCCUCCUUGAGUCAUUGGCUUGGUGCUCCUAAAAUGAGAAAAGAGUCAAAAGAAUGCAUUACUGACUCACGUGAAAUGACAACAUUAUAAUUCUCACAUCUGCCAUUUUCUUCCCUUCACUGAGCACUGAAAAAUGGAAAACGCUUUACCGUCCUAGAAGAAAGACUACAGUUUCCAUCUAAUUGCAAAUAGGACCUUCUCAGUGUUUCAGGUUCCCAAUUACCUGAUGAGGUCUCAGAAAAAUUAAAAGACAUAUUUUAAAAAUAUUAAAUAUUUAUUAAAUUAAAUAUUUAAUAUAGGACCCCAGAACCAUCUGAACACACAGAGUGGGUGACAUGAUGGAUGAAUAGAGAAGUGGGUUACAAAUGGCAGCAUAUCAAUCAUAAACCAUGGCUGUCAUGAGACAAGACUCACUCAGUCCCACGUUUGGAAGGGUGAAGUAUUGAACAGCACAACCCACAAGGGUGAUAGUUUGCUACUCCUGGAAGAAGUUGGAGAGUAUCUUGGGGGCUGUGGAGGUCACGUAGCAGAUAUCAAUGAACGACACAUUAUGGAGGAAGAAGUACAUGGGUAUGUGGAGAUGAAAUAUUAAAUAUUUUAAAAAUUUUCUAAAAAGCAAUAGAAACUCUAUAAUUAUAUGAGAGAGAUCACUGUAAAACUGUAAGAUUUUAUAGGAAUUUUGAAAAUUCAAUACAUAACUGCUGCUUAAUAAUAGUGAGGUAAAACUGGCAUCAUUCCAGAAUAAACUUGAAAUAGCUCUUCUCUCCAAGAUCUCAUCCACGUAGAUUUUUAAAAUUUUCUUCUUUUACACAUAAGAAAAAUUACCCUGUUUAUAAUAACUUCUCAAACUUUUUACAAAUAUAUUUAAUACAACACCUUCAACAUGGCCUGGAAAAUUAUAUCAUAAUUUAUAAUCCUGAUAUUUUCUUGGGGGAUAGCAUGUAUGCCCAAUAAAGUUAUGAAGUAAGUCUUCUUAGGGAAGUCUUCAUAUGAACUAUUCCUAAGGGAGGCUGGUACAAAUAUUAGCCCCAACUACUGUAUCAAUUGUAGGAUAUUUUGCAUCUUAGGAAACAGUAUAGUACUGUGGUUAAGGGUUCAGACUUUAGAGUCUUUAUUCUGAACGACGUCAUCAAGAUGGCAAAAUAGGUCAUUCACUUGGUCACUCUUGCCAGAAAAAACUAGCAACUACUCGUAACAACACAUCAUUUUGAAAAUCCUAGAACACGGGGAUGAGGCUGAAAUAUCCCCAUGGGCCACAGAGAAUGAGAAGAGUCAUGUUAGAAAGUUAGAGGAACAGCUACACUCUGACUCCAUGGUCCCUCCCCCUGCCAGCACUGAUACCAAAGCCAGAUAAGGACAUUAGAAGAAAAGAAAACUGCAGGUCAAUGUCCCUGACCUGUUGAAUACAGAUUCUAAAUUUUCAAAAAAAAAUCCUAACAAACAGAAUUCAGCAGCAUACUAAAAGGAUCAUACUCCAC